UGCCCAAUGCGGGAUUCGAACCCGGGUCGUGUCUGUCGAAAACCUAUAGUGUAUACCACUGCCCCACCAAUUGCGAGGGC